rnacentral:lncRNA from 1 species
GGGAUAUCGAGGUCACAGUCUGUGGUGAGUGGAUCCUCACAGGCUUCUGUGUGGUACCUGGGGUACCCAGCUGUACAGUAAUUAAUAGUCUUUUUGUUGACCCCUGUAGAAGUCAAUUGUUCUGGGGUCAUUUGACUCCAGGUCUUGGCCAUCGUGCCUAGGUCUUUCCACGAGAUGUCAGGGGGUCUGGUGAAAGAUAUGUGUGGGAUCGAUGUUUCCCAAUGGUGAUAGAGAUGUGUCACACUCUCUGGGAGGUGGACCAAGAUGAGCAUGGUACCUGUGAGGUCCCAAAACAAGUCAGUCAGGGUAAUUUGGAUUUCUUUGAGUUGGAAUACUUCUUUCUCAUAGUUCAUAUCAGGGCCUGGUUCAUCCCUAACCCACAAGGUACAGUGAGGUAGGGCCACUGAUU